AUUCACCCAAUUGAACAUCAUUUUUCCAUGCAAGAGACAAGUUUGUUAUGUUAAGCUCCACUCUUUCAUUCCCAACCCAAGAAAAAAGAAGAGGAAAAGCCAACUUAAGAGCAACAAGUUGUUUAGAAAAUAAUGAUUAUUUGUAGAAGAGAAAUAUUACGUGUGUGGGAAUUCAUAUGCAAGCAACUUCUUGGCAGCUUCAUAUAUCCUUUCAUCUCCCCCUCCCCCCCAAACCGCCCUCAAAAAAAAAAAAAA
rnacentral:lncRNA from 1 species